CUGUCUCUAAUUUGCAAUAGCGAAAUUACUUAUAGGGUGAAAAUACCCUAAAAUAAAAACAUAAGACGAGAAGACCCUUAGAGUUAUGAUAACAAGGGGAGCUCUUCCUGCUAAAAUUUUUGUUGGGGCAACAUAGUUACAUACUAUUUAAUUAACUAUUAAUUCAACUUAACAGGCCGAGAAAACUUCUAUGAAAAAAUUAACUACCUAAGGGAUAACAGCAUAAUUUUAUUAUUUAGAUUGUGACCUCGAUGUUGGAUUAG
rnacentral:rRNA from 1 species